GCGAAGUUGGUAGAGAUCAGCCGAUUGGAAGGCUGGAGCAAUUGGGCCAAUGUGGGCUUGAAAUGGAUCAGAAAGAGAAGACGAAGGAGGAUUGGCCCGCAGGAGUGCAAUAACUAACUUCGGUACGAGUUGUACUUGUAGAUAUUCGUUUUCGUUUAAAAUUAGAGAUAGAUCCUAGUCGGUUAGGAAAUUGGUUGUAACAGGCUAUAAAUAGCCAUCUUUAGAGAUCUGUAAACAACACAUCAAUCAAUACAACAAUCUACUAUUUCCUCGUACUUUACUUUCAAG
rnacentral:lncRNA from 1 species